rnacentral:rRNA from 1 species
GAUGAACGCUGGCGGCGUGCCUAAUACAUGCAAGUCGAGCGAAUGACGAGGAGCUUGCUCCUCUGAUUUAGCGGCGGACGGGUGAGUAACACGUGGGUAACCUGCCUGUAAGACGGGGAUAACUUCGGGAAACCGAAGCUAAUACCGGAUAAUAAAAAGAAACUCCUGUUUCUUUUUUGAAAGUCGGUUUCGGCUGACGCUUACAGAUGGGCCCGCGGCGCAUUAGCUAGUUGGUGAGGUAACGGCUCACCAAGGCCACGAUGCGUAGCCGACCUGAGAGGGUGAUCGGCCACACUGGGACGGAGACACGGCCCAGACUCCUACGGGAGGCAGCAGUAGGGAAUCUUCGGCAAUGGACGAAAGUCUGACCGAGCAACGCCGCGUGAGCGAUGAAGGCUUUCGGGUCGUAAAACUCUGUUGUUAGGGAAGAACAAGUGCUAGUUGAAUAAGCUGGCACCUUGACGGUACCUAACCAGAAAGCCACGGCUAACUACGUGCCAGCAGCCGCAGUAAAAC